AGUGAAUGCUGGCGGUAGGCCUAACACAUGCAAGUCGAACGGCAGCACAGUAAGAGCUUGCUCUUACGGGUGGCGAGUGGCGGACGGGUGAGGAAUAUAUCGGAAUCUACUUUUUCGUGGGGGAUAACGUAGGGAAACUUACGCCAAUACCGCAUACGACCUACGGGUGAAAGCAGGGGAUCUUCGGACCUUGCGCGAUUGAAUGAGCCGAUGUCGGAUUAGCUAGUUGGCGGGGUAAAGGCCCACCAAGUCGACGAUCCGUAGCUGGUCUGAGAGGAUGGUCAGCCACACUGGAACGGAGACACGGUCCAGACUCCUACGGGAGGCAGCAGUGGGGAAUAUUAGACAAUGGGCGCAAGCCUGAUCCAGCCAUACCGCGUGGGUGAAGAAGGCCUUCGGGUUGUAAAGCCCUUUUGUUGGGAAAGAAAAGCAGCAGGUUAAUACCCCGCUGUUCUGACGGUACCCAAAGAAUAAGCACCGGCUAACUUCGUG
rnacentral:rRNA from 1 species